rnacentral:rRNA from 1 species
UACAGAGGGUGCAAGCGUUGUUCGGAAUUACUGGGCGUAAAGCGUGCGUAGUCGGUAUUGAGAGUCGCGGGUGAAAUCCCAGGGCUUAACCCUGGAACUGCCUGCGAGACCUCAGUACUAGAGUGUUAGAGGGGACAGUGGAAUACCCAGUGUAGCGGUGAAAUGCGUAGAGAUUGGGUGGAACACCGGUGGCGAAGGCGACUGUCUGGCUAACAACUGACGAUCAGGCACGAAAGCGUGGGUAGCAAACAGG